UGACCCUUGGCUAAGCUAAGGGCCCCACUUUGUUAGGAUUUUGUGUUACUACCACGUUAGUUAAAAUGAUCUACACAGAAGUAUCUCUUCUACUGCGCUAUGAUUCAUUGGGAGAUGUUCCUUCCAUUUUCAUUUAAUUUUUUUUCUCUCAAAUUUAUUUAUUUUAAUUGUCAGAUAAAAUUGUAUCAUGUCCAGGAUAGAAGAGGUCUCAGGGGCAAGCAGAAGGUUGUUGUUGUGAAGUACAAUAUUUAAAAAAAUUUAAGAGCUAAAUUUUCAAAUUAAACGUGUUUAUUGUAUUCUAGUAUUAGCAUAAAGCUAUAGAAAGCUUUGGAUGCACUGUUUUCUUCUGAAAAUUCUGCCUCAUGUAAGAAGAGAAAAGUAAAAGUAUACAAAUGAAUGAUUUUGGACAUUCAGUCAAGGAGGCCUCUGGUCUUUUGAGGUUGUUCAUUUUUCCUAACAUGGGUGAUGAAAUGCCCCAAUAUUUCCUGAUGCUGGCAUACUUGGGAAUCCCUCAGUAAAGCAGUCUUGCCCAUGAUGCCGUCCUCUCCUUGUCUAGCAGCAAGACUACCUAUGACCUGCAUGACACCCCUCUGGGUGAUCUUUCCCCAAAGGCACAAAGCCUAGCAAUAGCCUUGCCUUUGUGCUAAGAAAAAGGUGACCCCAGAGAGAGCAGAACUGGAUUUGAGUCCUUUGGCCAGGCCCCUUUGUGGAGUGCACACACUUAACUCUGGGUGGAGCAUGCAAAGAACCCUCAGUGUUUUCUCCAGCGUGACCCGAGGCUACAAUUGGGCUGUUUUGUUACACCUUGUUCACUGUCCAGAUGAGGCUGGACAGUGACAUACUGGCAUGUUCUCUGAGCUCUGACCCAGAGAAAUUCCUCCUUUGUCACUUUGUAUGGUUUAUUUUGCUAAGUGACAGAGUUGAAUCUGUCACAGCACGAGCCAAACAAAAUGGUGAUUCGCCAGCCCACCGGUGUGGAGUCCCUUCCUUCCAACCAUUCUGCAGUAAUCAUUAUUAGAGAGCAGUUAUUUAUUGGUCUUCACGCAUAAAAUGAACAAGACCUUAGCUAGAUGUUUAUUGUUUAGGAUGUGUAUAUUUUUUUUUCAAGACUUUAGCCCCUGACACUUGCUGAAAUCACUAUUAUGAAGCACUGAAUUUGUACAAUGGGGCGGUGUUCUGGUCCCUGACCCGUGGAAAGCUGCACUGAUGUACACCCUUUCAUUCUACUGACUAGAUGGAGCUGCUCGAACGGUGCACAGGCUGAAGCAGCCACCAAGUUCCACCAGGGGCUGCUGUUGAACUUCUGAAAAAAUAUCGUAAUUCGGAGAAGAAGAACAAAGGUCCUAGAAAAAGAACAUAGAAAGGGUCACAUCUCAGAAGCAGAAGCUAUUUUAGACGCAUGAAAUGACAGCUUUCUCAGAGCCGACUGAUAGACCUGCGCGUCUUCAAGCAGGAGUCGCUGGCGCCAGCUUCGCGCAGAAGCGUCCCCUGCACGAUGGGCGAGUCACCUAGAAAGGCAACCUAAACUGCAGGUUAAUCAUCCAGCCCUGGCUGGUGGCACUUCUCCCCGGCCCUGCAUCCUACCAAAGAGCAAGAAAGCCAAGAACUGUUUUCUCUUUGCUAUUUAAUUUAACAGAAUCUGGGCUCAACGUUAGUUGGAGAUGAUAUUUCCUCUCGGCUGGGAUGGAAAGGCUACUGUAAUUUAGCAGUACAUUGUGAGGAAAAACUAAGGCAGCUCCGCGGCAUCUUUCUCCCCUCUUGUAUCGUUCCCUGGAUGGGAGAACACACAAAGUGGUGGCUGUGUGGCUCAGGCAUGCACAGAUAACUCACGUGUUACAGAGUCCGAGGGAAGAAGCUAUGUGAUGUUUUGGACUUAGAAAAGGGUUAUUUGUGAAAAAAUGUAUUUGUAUCAGUGAGUUGAAAAGUAUACAUAAAAGGAAGCAGGAUACAAAAAUAUUGUAGCGAGGAACAAAUGGUUCAGCGGAUCAGACCCAUCCUCACUAGAGGUAGAGAGCAAACAUCUCCUAAUGGGAUGGGUAACAAGAUGAGUAUUCUACAUUUGUUUUUCGGUUCUACCUAAGUCUUUGUAACUUUACAAUGUAAGAUCAGAAAUUGGAGCCAAUUACCAUAAUCUGUGGUGGUUUGGUGGGAACAUGUUCUACAUCAGACAGUUAAAAGGGUGGAUUGCUAUUAGGGCAUGUUAAUGCCCUUGAUAAUGUCUCUCCUCGCUUUGUAAUGGCUCUUGCUGAAGUAUAGAAUUCUUUUAUCUUCUUAUUACAUUAUGCAAAAACUUGAAUUGAAAAGAUAUUUGCAGGAACAUUUAAAGUAGUGCAUCAAUCAGCUUCAAAGAAGAGAAAAUGUUCUCGGAAUAGCUUAUAAAAGGAUAACUGUCACUUUUAUUUUGGGGGAACAAAGGCGACAACGCAGAGAGCAUUUUAUUGUAGAAGCACAUGGCGCGAUUCAAUAAAUACGCCGUGCAAAUAGGAGAGAGAAGAAACUUCGUAAUUAUCUUAUGACUUAAGCGUCGUCGUUUAAGCAACACUUUCAAAAUGCAGCCGGCGACGAAGCACUCUGGCUGCUGGGUCCUGAGUUCUAGCCUGUGAGUCCCCGUGAGGUGAUAACUGUCUUUGAUAACACAGGAUUUGAAUGGAUUAGUCAUGCUCUGUUUUUAAUACUUCUCAGAAUGCUGCAGAAAGGCGUGUGGGGAGGGCCUUAGCAAAAACCUUAACAGCCACUUAAUGGCGUAAGCUUCUCAAAAUGGGUUUCCUUAUGUGCGUGGUAUUCAAUUGUUGCUCUUCUUGUGGCUGCUGCUAAGACAGCUUUGGAUUGGGGUUUAACUGCGUUGUGACUUGGGUUAGCAUGUCAGGAUGUUCCUUGUGUAUUGACAGAAAUCUCUCUGUAGCAUAAUUCCAGACCUUUAGGAUCAGGGCUGCUUUGCGGCUGUUCAUUAAGGAUAUUUACACCUUCCUUAAAAUGAGAAAUUUCUUGUUAGCUUGCAAGCAUGCUUUGGAAACUAUAAAUGCUAACUAUGCAAUCUUAUUUUUCAAGUAUGUCUCCCAGGCUUUAGUCCUCAACCUGAUGAUGAAGACUCUGUUCAGCAAGGCUGAAGAGGCUGCCACCCAACCAUCUGAUUUUUUUUUUUCUGUACUGACAUGUGAGCUUAGGGCCUCUCAUGCAGGCUAGGCAAGGGGUCCUUUGCUAAGCCACACCCCCAGACUGAAUUAUUUAAAGGAAACACUCAGACCUGGCACCUGGAAAACAUAAUAUACAUUUCUACAAUAGGAAAAACCACCUAUAGAAUCCAAAUUUUCCAUACUGCGUGUUUCCACAUACAUAGACAUACAUCUAGGUGUGGAGAGUCAGGUCCCUGUAUGCAGAAACUAUGUGGUGAGUGCCUGUUGAGGUUUUUUUUUUUUAAAUCCUAAUCAGAAAAAAAUAUAUCUCUGUUUUCAGACAUAACUAAAGGAUGUUAUGCCUUAUUAGAUGUAGUGAUACAAUCUUUUCCAAGACUCAAAUUCUUCCAAGAUUCAAAAAAUUUUCAUUUGAAGUCGAAUAACCAGGCUAAUUCACUCCCUCAUGCCGUCGUAGCCUAGGAAAUUAUAUUAAUGCUAUGACAUUUCUAAGAAAUAAUGCUCAUUUAUUUAAAAACUGCAAAUAUAGCACCUUAUAAUAAGAAAUCAGCUCAUGACUUUGUGACAUCAUUUUGCUCACAUCUUAUUUCUCAUGGCUAUUGUACACGGUACCCAAUUCAUUAAAAUAAUUUUCUCCUCAUUUCAGUGGGCCUCACACGGGUUCUCUGUAGAGCGUCACUCAGGCAGUGCUCUCAGAGAUGCCCCACGUUCUCAUUGUUCCUUUCCCUUGGUCUGCUGGGGAACACUCUCAUCUCGAAAGUACAGGGAAAAUUAUCUCAUAAAAGAAAUUUAAUAACAACAGAACUUCUGAGAUUUUGAAAAUACAGAAUUCUUAAGUUAUUGAACUAUGGGAAAAGCUGUAAUUUAUAACCAGCAAGUUAGAAUGUUGUACACAUCUGUGUACUGUUUCAGAAAAUAAAGGUUGUUACCAUAGCAACUGCCACAUAAUAUGGA